rnacentral:rRNA from 1 species
UACGGAGGGUGCAAGCGUUAUCCGGAUUUACUGGGUUUAAAGGGUGUGUAGGCGGGUCUGUAAGUCAGUGGUGAAAUCUCCGGGCUCAACCCGGAAACUGCCAUUGAUACUAUAGGUCUUGAAUACUGUGGAGGUGGGCGGAAUGUGUCAUGUAGCGGUGAAAUGCAUAGAGAUGACACAGAACACCGAUUGCGAAGGCAGCCCACUACGCAGUGAUUGACGCUGAGGCACGAAAGCGUGGGGAUCAAACAGG